UACUCACCUUCCACUGCAAGGGGAAAGCAAGAUGGCCCAAAGGUUAAGGGCACCUGCCGCCAAGUCCGAUGACCUGAGUUUGAUCUCCGGAACUCACAUGAAGAAAGCGAGAACCCACUCUUUCGGCUCGUCUGGGCAGUACGUCAUGAAAGCAGAAGACAGAGUGAACGCUGCAUGGCACAGGGUGAGAACUGAAGAGGAAGCAAGGCUUCUGGCUGAGACACAGUGGGACUUUGUGAGUGAGUUGCACUGCUCUGCAGAGGCCAUCAAGACCACCCACAGGGAGCUCCAAAAAGGACUUCAAAUACACCUGACUUUCUGCAAACAUAAGCUGUACAAGGAGAAAGGACCUGAUCUUAAUAUUUUUAUCACAUUUAGAAAACAGCUAUAAAUCACCAGGUCAGCUGAUGUGUGGGACUCCGUAAAACAGAGGCUAAUCUCUUCCUUGGUGUGCUGAACUCAGAGGCAUUUAAUAAAGCUUCAUAAUGAAGGUUUUAAAGUAACCUUCAGUACAGUGUGGAGGGUAAAGGGCAGGGUGAAAUGGAAACAGAAAUAUUGUAGCUUUCAAAAAGCAGGCUGUAGUAGUUUGAACGUAACUGUCUCCAUAAGCUCACAGGGAGUGGAAUAAUUAGGAGGUGUGGCUUUGUUGGAGGAAGUGUGCCACUGUGGACGUCUUA